AAGGAGAAGGAUUCUGAUUGACUGGUGACUGGAUAACUAGGUUAGUUCAAUUUCUGCUGAUC
rnacentral:sRNA from 1 species